rnacentral:piRNA from 1 species
UGCAACGCUCUUCAGCCUGC